ensembl:lncRNA
CAGAAAGUCUAAUCCAUACCACUGCAAAAUCUAAAAACUGCAGCCUGUCAUCAAUUACUCCAUGUUUUAUAUCUCCAUUAUUAUAAAAUAUUUUUACUGGUUCAGCCGACUUGAGGUCAAAGUGGGCUGCGUGUGGCACAUGAACUAAAAAGAGUUUGACACCCCUGUCCUAGAAAAUGGGCAGAUGUAUGUAGGCUGUUAGAGUGAAGUGCCACUCGACUGGAUCAAUCUGUAACCACAUCCUACACAAGUGCAGACACGUUAACCUGCAAGCAACCUGCAAUUCCCCAAACCAAUCAGACGCUGUGUGAGUGUGCUGUCGACACAGCAGUAUUUAAGAUAUGAACUGGUUAUCGAUGAAUGUGAUUAACACUUUCAACUGACUGGAAUUUUUGCACAAACAAUGUUUGACACGAUGUUCAGUUUUCUCACUGCUGCUGUUUAGUAAUUUUAUUUUUUCAUGUUUUUCUUCAUGUUUUCAUUUUCUUUAUUUUUUAUUGUUCUGUUUUGUUUUGUCUUUUACUAUAAGUUGGCUGUGCAUAUUAAAGGCUUUUUUUUUUCUUGUCCUGUCCAGCAGUUUAACGUCGGAAUUGUUGUCUGAAGGCCAAAAAAUGCCCAGCAAAUUUACUUUCACAGGUGUAGCAUUACGAUAUUCACUAUAAUGGUCCACCUGGUCGUCAUAUUUUACUAGAACUUUUUUUUUUUUUUUUGGAUUAUUACAACCAUAACAGACAAGACUGGGGGACAGAAACAAAAAAAGAAAGAAAAUAAAGAAAUGUAACAGAAAGAGAAGGAGAGAAAAAUAAAGGGGAAGAAGAGGGAUGAAGAGAGAAAGGAACCUGCCAGGUGCCCGACAGAGGCAGGGAGCCUCUGGCGGCAAAACAGCACACACCUAAACAUUCAAACCCCGGACACCGAAGACCACCAAUGGCGGCAGGUGGGGGCACCAGCCACUGGCAUGGAUUGUGGCGUCGGGAAAUAGGCCCCACACCUGGUCCCCCAGGCCUGGCAUGUUCUAAGAGAGAGGGAGAGUCUAAGACCUGACUUGACACAUAGACAAAGAGUCAUACACAGGUCUUGAUGCAUGCUCAAUCAUCCAGG